GACGUAGGGGGCGAGCGUUGUCCGGAUUUACUGGGCGUAAAGAGCGCGUAGGCGGAUCACCGCAUUUCUGAUGAAAGGGUGGGGCUUAACCCCACGACUGUUAGGAAGAUGGGUGGUCUUGAGGGCAGUAGAGGAUCGUGGAAUUCCGGGUGUAGUGGUGAAAUGCGUAGAGAUCCGGAGGAACACCAGUGGCGAAGUCGGCGAUCUGGGCUGCAUCUGACGCUGAGGCGCGAAAGCGUGGGGAGCGAACUGA
rnacentral:rRNA from 1 species